UUUUUUCCUUCUCCAGUCUGCUGGGAUCCUCUACCUCCUCCAAGUGUUCUCAGAGAUGACAGUAAAGUACAAGAAGAAUUGAACCUUGUAUCAGCAGUCUAGAAUGACUGGAAAACUUGGAGCUUUUUUCUCCCAAAGGCAGCUCUUUUACGGCUGCCUGUAACCUAUUAACCACAUCAGUGGGCUCACAGAAGGCUUAUAGAAGAGCAGGAGCCAGAGGACAACACUGACUGGCUCUAGUCAUAAAGAAAGUCAGCUUCCUAUCUUAGGCUCAGCUGUCACUUCUGAAGGCGCAACAUAUGGGAAGCUAAAGCUCAUGCUGAACAACUAGGAAGGUGGAAGACUGAGCAACUAAAGAGCUUAACAAGACCAUCUCCCCCCACAAUGGAAACAAGAUUGUUCAGGCAUUUAUUAUACUGUUAAGAUCACAAACAGCUUCUCAAAAGCUAAUGACAGAUACUGCACAGCAAUGACUAGGAGGGGAAAACACUUUGCUCAUGGAAUUAGUGUUAGAGAGUUCACAAGAGGACACAUGGAAGAAAGACCACAGGGGAAAGAAAGAAACAAGGAAAAAAGAAAGUGUAAGCCUCAUCUAAUACUGCUGCUUCAAUUUAAAAUAGCUAAGUAAGGCUAGGAACAGAUGCUGUAAUGGUUCCUGUACAAAGUGUGCCUGCAUUUGUCCUGAAACAGAAAUAUCCUGGGAUUGGCAUGAAUUUUACACAUCACCCUUCUAAUCAGCGUUUACUGAUUGGCUGAAUGCAUCAUGGCUUUUCCGCCAUUGAGUCAAUGAUGUAAUCCCAAGAUAACCAUUCAGGCUCACCACUUUACAAUGUCCUGGGAAAGUAUUAGUACUACUUAUCCCAUGAACCUUUGUAGGAUUUAUACUGACACAAUGGACACAAACAUCUGAAUGAUCGCACUUUGUCCCAGAAUAAAAUGGCUUAUCCCAGGACAAAUGUGACUUCUGUUUGUAGCCUAAAACACUUCAGUGAUAUCCAAAGGAGCUGUGAAAGGAGGGUUCAUUUCUGACUGUAUCUUCUGCAAGAUAUUUUUGCUAUCUCCCUUGUUCAUUGGGAAGCAAUUUCCAAAGCAAGAGAAAAACCACACAUGCCAAAAUGCUAUUCUUCAUUAGCUUUCACACAGACAGUUAGUGUGAAGAGGAAUGUAACACAUGCUCUGGUAAUAAUUUCAUUAGCAUUGAGUCCCUGCCUAUUAGCAAACAGAAUCCACACCGAGUUUACUUACCCUUCUGACAACUGCACAUAAAAUUAACAGCUCCCAUAAUAAGACUAUCUGAGUUUGAGGGAAGACUUUGCACCACCACAGCACCUUACCACUAGCAAAUCACUCUUUCACUCUCUUUCCUGGAAACAAGACUGUGUUCCUUUCCAUCAGAUGAGACGUUGGUAUAGGCAAAGCCCAAAGCUUACUAAUGCAGAUCAUAAGUCAGCCCAUGGUUACUGACAAGACCAGAAAUAAUGCCCCUUUGCAUAUUAGCUGGUACAACUGACUAUUGGUGGACUUAGUACCUUUCCAUCAAUGGUAGCCACCAUUUCACUGUCAUGAUGAGUUUUCUCAUCCUGAGGAUCUCCUGAGUCACUAGUAUCUCUGUUAUGUAACAUUUAUAGCUGGGAGCAUGGUGUAGGCUGAGCUGCAUAUUUAAUCCUCAGUGCAGGGAUUACAAUGGACAGUUAAUGUUUCUGAU